UGCCAAUCUUCAUUAAUUAUAAGGGUCUGUUUGAGGUUUGCUCCUACUGUGGGAGGAAAACAGUACUCAAAUACGAUUAUGAUAUCAAUAAGUUGGAUGUCCUUGGUUUAUGAUCAACAAAGGUGUUCGGCGACAAGCCAAACAUGUUGUUGGAGGAUUUCAAUGAUCCAAAGCUCACUUUAGGCAACCUUGACAAUGACCUCAUCGUUUACUUCCCUCAACCACCAAGGGCUGUCCCUGAUGGUGCACACUUUGGGGUGAGUGCAAAAGACUCAAAGAGGACUGUUAGUUAAGCUUCAAGAAAAAGAAGAAAAGAGAAUGAAGGUGACAAUGAAGAUGAAAAGUGAAGGUGAAGGUAAGGCUAUAGGUCCAAGUGUAGGUGUUGGUGAUGGCCUAGGUGCAAACAAUUGAUGAUGUUGGAUGACGUGAUGAAGUGGGCAAGUGGAUGUAAGCAAUUUAGAUUUAAUUUUAGCAUGUUUUAAUUAAUGUUUUAGCUUUAGUCUUUUACGUUGGACGUUUUUUAUGUACUACUGUUCAGGUAAUCUGAUGUGAAAAUUAACUUAACACACAAAUUUAACCCUCUUUUGACAACUGUAGUAUAAAAAUAAGUAGGGAUCGUUCUGGACCGAGGAUUAGGAGGGCUUGCUAAUAACCUCUAAAUUGACUCAAAAACAUAAAAUUAAACUUAAAAAAAAAUACUUAACAAGACUCACAAGACUCAAAGCAAACUUAAAAUACUCAAAACAGCUUAAAACAACUAAAUAAACUUAAACUAGACACUAGAAAUGACUUUGGACAAAAAUUGACUUUUACUUGAAUCAAAACAUUUUAAAAACACAAAUUAAAACAGAUUCUAACUAAUUAGACACAAUAAAAUAAAGGGGGAGUGAGUUUUGGACGGAGUUGAAACAAACAAACAAGUAUGAAAAACUAGACAAAUUGUAAAACAAAUUUGAGAAAUAAGAUGAUGGAUGGGAUAGCUAGAGGCUUUUUCUCCACACAUGAUAUGUAUACAAACAACUCGAUUUCCAGUUACUACUUCAUUGAAUUAUGAACGACAAUGCUCCAAAUUAACCAUGACAUCACUAAUUAACUCUCAGAUUUUCCUUGUUUUAUUAGAUUGGAUGACAUCAUUCGACAACCCAAAACAUUCUUCUAAAGUUCCCUACAUGACAUGAUAAUAGAGAUACAAUCAAAGAUCAUUACAUUUAAUGAAAAUCAUAAGCAUUGACAAAGCACUUGCAACUAUGACAUCAUGUCACUCAUGCUAGGAAUUGAACUUAACGCGAUCCUUUAUAAGCGACCUUCACUACAUGUGAAUAUAAGUUUGUAACGAUUAUGUGAAACUUCCUUAUAUCCUAGCAACGGAUUUAUGCAUGCCAAUUAAGUGUCGACCCUUAAUUAACAAAUACAAAUAAGUUAUCAA
rnacentral:lncRNA from 1 species